rnacentral:lncRNA from 1 species
UGUUCGGGCAACCCUAGGUCUUUUUGUCUGACAUGGUUUCUUGGGCAAGCUUUGGGGGUAAUGGCAUGGUAAAGUCACACAGAGUACUUGUCACAGUUUUUCUUUUUCUGCAGUCAAUCUAGACUUGUCACUGUCUUUUAUAAGUUUAUGAAAAAGACGAUCUUUUUGAUCAGAUGAUUUUGUAAGCCAGCAUUGAUACAAUAAUUGAUGGUGUUCAUAGUAUCCAAACAGCAGGUA